GUAGGUGGCAAGCGUUGUCCGGAAUUAUUGGGCGUAAAGCGCGCGCAGGCGGUUCUUUAAGUCUGAUGUGAAAGCCCGCGGGCUCAACCGUGGAGGGUCAUUGGAAACUGGAGAACUUGAGUACAGAAGAGGAAAGCGGAAUUCCACGUGUAGCGGUGAAAUGCGUAGAGAUGUGGAGGAACACCAGUGGCGAAGGCGGCUUUCUGGUCUGUAACUGACGCUGAGGCGCGAAAGCGUGGGGAGCAAACAGGAUUAGAUACCCUGGUAGUCCACGCCGUAAACGAUGAGUGCUAAGUGUUAGGGGGUUUCCGCCCCUUAGUGCUGCAGCUAACGCAUUAAGCACUCCGCCUGGGGAGUACGGCCGCAAGGCUG
rnacentral:rRNA from 1 species